CCAGCACCCGCGGUAAUUCCAGCUCCAAUAGCGUAUAUUUAAGUUGCUGCAGUUAAAAAGCUCGUAGUUGGAUUUCGGGUGGGACCUACCGGUCCGCCGUUUCGGUGUGCACUGGCAGGGCCCACCUUGUUGCCGGGGACGGGCUCCUGGGCUUCACUGUCCGGGACUCGGAGUCGGCGAAGUUACUUUGAGUAAAUUAGAGUGUUCAAAGCAGGCAUACGCUCUGAAUACAUUAGCAUGGAAUAACACGAUAGGACUCUGGCCUAUCUUGUUGGUCUGUAGGACCGGAGUAAUGAUUAAGAGGGACAGUCGGGGGCAUUCGUAUUUCAUUGUCAGAGGUGAAAUUCUUG
rnacentral:rRNA from 1 species